rnacentral:rRNA from 2 species
AAAUUGAAGAGUUUGAUCAUGGCUCAGAUUGAACGCUGGCGGCAGGCCUAACACAUGCAAGUCGAGCGGUAGCACAGAGAGCUUGCUCUCGGGUGACGAGCGGCGGACGGGUGAGUAAUGUCUGGGAAACUGCCUGAUGGAGGGGGAUAACUACUGGAAACGGUAGCUAAUACCGCAUAACGUCGCAAGACCAAAGUGGGGGACCUUCGGGCCUCAUGCCAUCAGAUGUGCCCAGAUGGGAUUAGCUAGUAGGUGGGGUAACGGCUCACCUAGGCGACGAUCCCUAGCUGGUCUGAGAGGAUGACCAGCCACACUGGAACUGAGACACGGUCCAGACUCCUACGGGAGGCAGCAGUGGGGAAUAUUGCACAAUGGGCGCAAGCCUGAUGCAGCCAUGCCGCGUGUGUGAAGAAGGCCUUCGGGUUGUAAAGCACUUUCAGCGGGGAGGAAGGCGUUAAGGUUAAUAACCUUGGCGAUUGACGUUACCCGCAGAAGAAGCACCGGCUAACUCCGUGCCAGCAGCCGCGGUAAUACGGAGGGUGCAAGCGUUAAUCGGAAUUACUGGGCGUAAAGCGCACGCAGGCGGUCUGUCAAGUCGGAUGUGAAAUCCCCGGGCUCAACCUGGGAACUGCAUUCGAAACUGGCAGGCUAGAGUCUUGUAGAGGGGGGUAGAAUUCCAGGUGUAGCGGUGAAAUGCGUAGAGAUCUGGAGGAAUACCGGUGGCGAAGGCGGCCCCCUGGACAAAGACUGACGCUCAGGUGCGAAAGCGUGGGGAGCAAACAGGAUUAGAUACCCUGGUAGUCCACGCCGUAAACGAUGUCGAUUUGGAGGUUGUGCCCUUGAGGCGUGGCUUCCGGAGCUAACGCGUUAAAUCGACCGCCUGGGGAGUACGGCCGCAAGGUUAAAACUCAAAUGAAUUGACGGGGGCCCGCACAAGCGGUGGAGCAUGUGGUUUAAUUCGAUGCAACGCGAAGAACCUUACCUGGUCUUGACAUCCACAGAACUU